CUAAUUUUAUGGGUCUCACUAAUUAGCGACAACAAGCGUCAAGAAGCGACAACAAGCGUCAACAAGCGACAAGAAGCGACAACAAGAAUUAUUUUAGCGACAACAAGCGACAAGAAGACUAUUUAGCGACAAGAAAACAUUUUUUUUUAUUAGAUAUAAAGAAAUUUGUAUUUAAUAGUUUUUUUUUUAAAUAUACGAGCAGAUAUGUCUAAUUAAAAUGUUUUAUUAUAUAG
rnacentral:lncRNA from 1 species